rnacentral:rRNA from 1 species
ACUGCGAGUGAAGCGGGAAAAGCUCAAUUUAAAAUCUGAUAGUCUUCGGCUAUCCGAGUUGUAAUCUAGAGAAGUGUUAUCCGCGCUGGACCGUGUACAAGUCUCCUGGAACGGAGCGUCAUAGAGGGUGAGAAUCCCGUCUCUGACACGGACUGCCAGGGCUUUGUGAUGCGCUCUCAAAGAGUCGAGUUGUUUGGGAAUGCAGCUCUAAAUGGGUGGUAAAUUCCAUCUAAAGCUAAAUAUUGGCGAGAGACCGAUAGCGAACAAGUACCGUGAGGGAAAGAUGAAAAGAACUUUGGAAAGAGAGUUAAACAGUACGUGAAAUUGUUGAAAGGGAAACGCUUGAAGUCAGUCGCGUCGGCUAGAAAUCAACCUUGCUUUUGCUUGGUGUACUUUCUGGUUGAUGGGUCAGCAUCAAUUUUGACCGGUAGAAAAAGGUUAAGGGAAUGUGGCAUCUUCGGAUGUGUUAUAGCCCUUAGUUGUAUAUAUCGGUUGGGAUUGAGGAACUCAGCACGCCCUCGGGGUUGUGUUCAGGAUGCUGGCAUAAUGGCUUUAAUCGACCCGUCUUGAAACACGGACCAAGGAGUCUAACAUGCCUGCGAGUGUUUGGGUGGAAAACCCGAGCGCGCAAUGAAAGUGAAAGUUGAGAUCCCUGUCGCGGGGAGCAUCGACGCCCGGACCAGACCUUUUGUGACGGAUCCGCGGUAGAGCAUGUAUGUUGGGACCCGAAAGAUGGUGAACUAUGCCUGAAUAGGGUGAAGCCAGAGGAAACUCUGGUGGAGGCUCGUAGCGAUUCUGACGUGCAAAUCGAUCGUCGAAUUUGGUAUAGG